GAUCCAAAAAUAUGCCUCUGGCCCUGUGCCUGAUGGGAUGAGCCUUGAUAGACUUUUCCAGAACCGAGGAGGCGGAAGGUCUAAAGAUUCACCCCAACCUUGUGCCCAGGUUCCCUUGAGAGCAUACUAAAAAUUAAUAUUCAACAGUCUGAUGCUGUGAGAGAGGCUGUGUCCUUGUGGGUGGACCUGGUUUGGGGAAUGCUGCGAUUCAGGUGGGUCCAUUCAAGCCGCCCGACCUCCCUCAGCAAAUUAAUGGUGACAGUGAUGGAGGGGGGCCUCUGGCCCCCGCCUGGAAUAAGGUCCCCUGGUUGCCCGAAAGGUACCUGCAGGGAGUGGAGGCCAGAGAAGGAAAGCCCGGCCAGGGGGAGGGUUCCAGCCCGGGCAAAGUGCUACAGAAGCAAAAUCCAUUUGUGGUGGCUUCGUGCCUGCCGUCAGGGUUGGGCGCUCCGGGGUCAGGAAUGCUUUGAGUGAGAGGCGCUGGGGGGGGACCAGCCCUCCACGGGGGAUGCUGGGCUCUCCAGGGAGGGAAGACCUCAUCCGGGCUGCAGCCCAUUCUCAGUUCCGCUCUAUUUAGAACGCGAGCUUUUGUGUGUGUGUGUGUGUGUGGAAAGCAGAUUGCUGAGGAGGAAAGCUCAGGCCCAGCGGGGAGAAGGCUGGUGCUGCUGUGGCUCCUAGAGUCGGGGGUGGAGGGCAGGAGAGAGAAAGGCAGAGACUCAGAGCAGGAGGCCCCAGCCCAGUCACCUUCGCCUCACCUCUCUCCAUCUGUCCCGUCCAUCACCUCCCGCUCCAGCCCUGUAGCCCAUCUUGGGGCAGAGAGCAUCCGAAACUCUUUUGCCAAGUGAGAUAGGCAAGCCACAUUGUAAAUACCAGAGUCCCUCUGACAGAAAGCCCCUGUGCACCAAAUACCCGCUUCUGCGGUGUAUGCUGCCGUGUAGACACAAGACACAGCUGGCUAGGCUGCCCCGGUGUGGAAUGACCUAGGAGGUGAUUCUCUUCUGGAAAUACGGGCAGCCCGGACUAAAGGUGGUUCCCAGACAUCACGGAGGGACAGCAGGGAUGGCAGGUGUUGGACACUUGACUUCCAGGUCAUGGCUAGUCCUCCCCUCCCCCACCAAAGGGACAGCUGUGUCAAAUGCAGCCAAUACUGUGGGCAGAGAGAGUGGUGGGUGGCCAGCCAUGGGGUCUCUGCGUCUCGAAGAACCCUCACCCAUCUCUUGCCCUCUACUCAGCCUUUGUCUAGGAAGAGAAACGUGAUGUUUGAGGAGUGACUCCCACCGCCCUGCUUCAACUCCCUUUGUGUGGCCCAAACUCAGCCUCUGUCCACCGGGGCCAAAUAGAAACUCCAAGGCAGGGUUUGGGGUGAAGGAGAGAAAGAUAGCGUUCACGGCUUUGCCAGGCACACGGGGCCACAGCAGGCUAAUGCCUUAAAGACUGUGCCCACCAUGGGAGAGAUUGGGAGGUGACUUUAUAGUUUGGGAGUGAAAAAUAGGGCCUCAGAUGAGGAUCAGGGCAGAUGCAAGCUUUCAUUGUUCUCCAAAGCUGGCGAUUCCUCUUUCCGGAAUGAAGACUAACUACGUCAUUAAGGUCUUCCACGUGUUGUGGGUUUGAGUUCUGCCGAAGAACUCAAAAGACAUGGUUCUCUCUGGAUUCCUGGAGGAGGAACCAGGACCCUACGGAAGGAAGGCUGCACUGUUGUCUCUUGAAUGUUCCUCCCUAGAAUGUCCCCUCCCUGCCUUGAUUAGCAGCUGUUUGAACCUGCUCUUUGGAACUCGGGAAGGUCGUGGAGGCUGAAGCGUACUCCCUCAAAACAAGAAAUGGAGGCCCCAGCAUGGCUCGUGUGCCCAGGAGCCCCACAGGGCCCUGCUUGGUUUCGAUUGGGCCCAGUGAGAUGGGCUGCUCAGCCAAGUGGACCCCAACUGGCCUCCCAGAUGUCCCUUCUCUGCAGAAUUCUUCCUCGAUGUGGGCCAUAGUCCCUCUCCUUUCCCGGCCAAGGCAACUUUGAGACCAAUGGCGACUGUUCUUCCAGAACUUUCAAACAGCAGAGCUCUGUACCUGCGUUGCUCACAGAUCUUAAGGCCUUCCUAACCCACAGGAUGCUGGGCGUGUGGGUCUGGAGGCCGGUGGGUGGCGUCCUGCUGAGGUCCUGGUGCCACGAAGCCAUUGAUGACCAGCACUUGGUCACAUGCGUGAGAGGCCACAUUCCUUUCCAGCUGGCCAGCUCUCUGGCCCUUCAGAGCCCUGCCGGGAGCCCAGAGGUGACUUUUAAACUCAGCUGUGCCCCUGAUCGGAAACCACUGGUUCCCAGCCAGGUUCAACGUUGUCCCUUUACCCCUACCCCGGGGGCCAUGUGCAAUGUCUGGAGCUAUUUCUGGUUGUCACAGCCAGAGGGGAGGGUACCAUUAGCAUCUAGUGAGUGGGUGGUGGCCAGGGAUGCUGCUAAGCAUCCGACAAUGCACACACAGGACAGGCCCCCCCGCCACAAAGAAUUAUCCAGCCCCACAUGUCAGUAGUGUCAGGAUGGAGAAACUGUGGGGUUUUUUUUCAGCCUCUGCUGCCAGUUUGAACCAAGCUUGAACCCUAAUCCCGCUCACCCUCUCCCCAUGGCUUUAUUUAUCAAAGGGGGGCGGGAAAUCUGUUAUUUUUUCCAAGUGCAUUUCCCCCUGUAUCUUAUCAAGAACCACCAAGUUCAGCACACCCUUGAUUAGUCACUUCCAUUAACACUGUUUAUUUUGGGGUUUGUGUUUAUUUUUGAAACUGUCUCCCCCCCCCCCCCCCCCCGCCACACACACACACUAGAGGUGCACGGCCAGCUUUUUAGCCCCAUCUUGUCCCCGCUUUCCUUCAUCCCCCAACCCCCUGGGCCGACUUCAGAGGACGCCUCUGCUCCCUCUC
ensembl:lncRNA